CUGGCGCUUUAAGAUUAGCCUGCGUCCGAUUAGCUAGUUGGUGGGGUAAGGGCCUACCAAGGCGACGAUCGGUAGCUGGUCUGAGAGGAUGACCAGCCACACUGGAACUGAGACACGGUCCAGACUCCUACGGGAGGCAGCAGUGGGGAAUAUUGGACAAUGGGGGCAACCCUGAUCCAGCAAUGCCGCGUGUGUGAAGAAGGCCUGAGGGUUGUAAAGCACUUUCAGUGGGGAGGAGGGUUGAUAGGUUAAGAGCUAAUUAACUGGACGUUACCCACAGAAGAAGCACCGGCUAACUCCGUGCCAGCAGCCGCGGUAAUACGGAGGGUGCGAGCGUUAAUCGGAAUUACUGGGCGUAAAGGGUGCGUAGGUGGUUGAUUAAGUUAUCUGUGAAAUUCCUGGGCUUAACCUGGGACGGUCAGAUAAUACUGGUUGACUCGAGUAUGGGAGAGGGUAGUGGAAUUUCCGGUGUAGCGGUGAAAUGCGUAGAGAUCGGAAGGAACACCAGU
rnacentral:rRNA from 1 species